GACGAACGCUGGCGGCGUGCUUAACACAUGCAAGUCGAACGAUGAAGCCGGAGCUUGCUCUGGUGAAUUAGUGGCGAACGGGUGAGUAACACGUGAGUAACCUGCCCUUGACUCUGGGAUAACUGCGGGAAACUGCAGCUAAUACCGGAUACGACCCUCGGAGGCAUCUCCUGGGGGUGGAAAGAAUUUCGGUCAAGGAUGGACUCGCGGCCUAUCAGCUAGUUGGUGAGGUAAAGGCUCACCAAGGCGACGACGGGUAGCCGGCCUGAGAGGGUAACCGGCCACACUGGGACUGAGACACGGCCCAGACUCCUACGGGAGGCAGCAGUGGGGAAUAUUGCACAAUGGGCGCAAGCCUGAUGCAGCAACGCCGCGUGAGGGAUGACGGCCUUCGGGUUGUAAACCUCUUUUAGCAGGGAAGAAGCGAAAGUGACGGUACCUGCAGAAAAAGCACCGGCUAACUACGUGCCAGCAGCCGCAGUAA
rnacentral:rRNA from 1 species